AUGUGCAGCCAUGGCCAUGCGGAGCCGGCGACGACGUGCGUGACGUGCCCGCCGCGGUCGCAGGGGCGGCUCAUCACGGUGCUGAGCAUCGACGGCGGCGGCAUCCGCGGUCUCAUCCCCUCCACCAUCCUCGCCUGCCUCGAGUCCAAGCUCCAGGAGCUGGACGGGCCGGAUGUGCGCAUCGCUGACUACUUCGACGUGAUCGCCGGGACGAGCACGGGCGCGCUGGUCACGUCCAUGCUGGCGGCGCCGGGCGAGAACAAGCGGCCGCUCUUCGAGGCCAAGGAAAUCAACAAGUUCUACCUCGACAACGGGCCCAAGAUCUUCCCGCAGAAAAGCUGGGGAUUCCUGACCCCGAUGGCAAAUAUGUUUGGCGCGGUGAUGGGUCCCAAGUACGACGGUAAGUUCCUACACGACAAGAUCAAGAACCUCACCAACGACGUCACGGUCGCCGACACCGUCACCAACAUCAUCGUCCCGACGUUCGACGUUAAGUACCUGCAGCCGAUCAUCUUCAACACGUACGAGGCCAAGGUGGACCCACUCAAGAACGCGCACCUAUCCGACAUCUGCAUCAGCACGUCCGCCGCACCCACCUACUUCCCGGCACAUUAUUUCACGACCCAUGACCCGUCUCGCAAGCUGCCAGACCGUGAGUACCACCUCAUCGACGGCGGCGUGGCCGCCAACAACCCCACCAUGGCUGCCAUGUCCAUGAUCACCAAGGAGGUGCUGCGCCGCAAGCCCGACUUCACGCAAGGCAAGCCCGCCGAGUACGGCAACUACCUCAUCAUCUCCAUCGGCACCGGGUCCGCCAAGAUGGCGGAGAAGUACACCGCGCCCGAUUGCGCCAAGUGGGGCGUCCUCCGCUGGCUCUAUGACGGCGGCUUCACCCCACUCAUCGACAUCUUCUCUCAUGCGAGCGCCGACAUGGUCGACAUCCACGCCGCCGUGCUGUUUCAGGCCCUGCGCAUUGAGAAGAACUACCUACGCAUCUAGGACGACUUGCUCACAGGGCACACGUCCUCGGUGGACAUCGCCACCAAAGAGAACAUGGAGGCCCUUAUCGGGAUCGGUAAGAAUCUUCUCAAGAGGAAUGUGUCCCGGGUGAACAUUGACACAGGGAUGUAUGAGUCCGUCAAUGGCGAGGGAACCAACGAAGAGGCGCUCGCGCGCUUCGCCAGGAAGCUAUCCGAGGAGCGCAAGCUGCGCCAAACCAACCUCAACUCCAAAUAG
rnacentral:rRNA from 1 species